GGGGAUGUUCUGGCUUCGACGCUGGUAGCGAAACCUAAUGAUGCAUGUCAAGAGCGUGUGACUCUUGUAAAUCAACAUACAUUUAAAAUAGUCGCAAACGACGAAACUUACGCACUAGCAGCUUAAGGGCUGCUUAGGACGGCACAAAUUGCCUUUGGUUUGGUUGCUCUCCUAGAUGCGAAUGCACAAAGGAUAGCCAAAAUUAGCGUUGCGAUGAUUUUGGCGAAAUUCUUAGCAAAUCGUCCAAGCCAUCCUGACUGUCGGUUCGGUGCGGAUUAAAGCCAUAGACAGAAUCUAAGCAUGUAGAUUCAUAGAUGUAGUACUGGCGGACGCGGGUUCGACUCCCGCCAUCUCCACCA
rfam:Moraxella catarrhalis BBH18, complete genome.